rnacentral:rRNA from 1 species
UACGUAGGGUGCAAGCGUUAAUCGGAAUUACUGGGCGUAAAGCGUGCGCAGGCGGUUAUGCAAGACAGAGGGGAAAUCCCCGGGCUCAACCUGGGAACUGCCUUUGUGACUGCAUAGAUAGAGUACGGUAGAGGGGGAUGGAAUUCCGCGUGUAGCAGUGAAAUGAGUAGAUAUGCGGAGGAACACCGAUGGCGAAGGCAGCCCAAUGGGCUAGCACUGACGCUCAGGCACGAAAGCGUGGGGAGCAAACAGG